rnacentral:misc_RNA from 1 species
AUGAUACUUAAUAGGGUUAUAAAAUCAAUGCCAGUGUAGCAUAAUUCAAUAAAAAUCAUGACAUAUAAUUGUAGGACCAAGAUGUUAUUUUCAGAAACUUUCCAUGGCUAGACAUACCAGCUAGGGAUGAAGAUGAAAUCUUUUCUUUUCCUGUAUAACCAUCUAGUUUUGGAAUCAGCUCCUCCAUUACCCAAAGUUUUUCAGAAAUAAGUUAGCAUGGCUCUAAGGAUUUCAUGUGUUGUAUCAAAAUAUUGAAUCAGAG